CUUCCAGUAGCACCUUAGAGACCAACUAAGUUUGUUGUUGGUAUGAGCUUUCGUGUGCAUGCACACUUCUUCAGAUACCAAUAACAAACUUAGUUGGUCUCUAAGGUGCCACUGGAAG